CAGUCGCCGCGGGAAUACGAAGGGUGCAAGCGUUAAUCGGAAUUACUGGGCGUAAAGCGUGCGUAGGCGGUGAGUUAAGUCUGCUGUGAAAUCCCCGGGCUCAACCUGGGAACUGCGCUUGUGACUGCACAGCUAGAGUAUGGCAGAGGGGGGUGGAAUUCCACGUGUAGCAGUGAAAUGCGUAGAGAUGUGGAGGAACACCGAUGGCGAAGGCAGCCCCCUGGGCCAAUACUGACGCUCAUGCACGAAAGCGUGGGGAGCAAACAGGAUUAGAUACCCCCGUAGUCCCUGUCUCUUAUAC
rnacentral:rRNA from 1 species